rnacentral:snoRNA from 1 species
CGCACAGAAUCCAAUUGGGGGCAGCUCUGUGGUUGUGCCCAGUUUGACAUUAUUUAACGUGUCUAAGUGCGAUAUUAAUCCAACUUGGCGUCGCAUUUGCCAUAACCCCAAUCACAUGGUAUGGCGAACUGAAACUUCGAGUAACAA